UUUGUUCUGGAAGAGCCGGGGAACGUUUUGGAGUUCGUAACUCCGGAGCCGAGGCGGUUGUAGGUGGAGCAGGAGAUCAUUUUCUUGAAUACAU
rnacentral:tRNA from 11 species